CUACGGGAGGCAGCAGUGGGGAAUAUUGGACAAUGGGCGAAAGCCUGAUCCAGCAAUGCCGCGUGAGUGAUGAAGGCCCUAGGGUUGUAAAGCUCUUUUACCCGGGAUGAUAAUGACAGUACCGGGAGAAUAAGCUCCGGCUAACUUCGUGCCAGCAGCCGCGGUAAUACGAGGGGAGCUAGCGUUGUUCGGAAUUACUGGGCGUAAAGCGCGCGUAGGCGGUUUUUUAAGUCAGAGGUGAAAGCCCGGGGCUCAACCCCGGAAUUGCCUUUGAAACUGGAAAACUAGAAUCUUGGAGAGGUCAGUGGAAUUCCGAGUGUAGAGGUGAAAUUCGUAGAUAUUCGGAAGAACACCAGUGGCGAAGGCGACUGACUGGACAAGUAUUGACGCUGAGGCACGAAAGCGUGGGGAGCAAACAGGAUUAGAUACCCUAGUAGUCC
rnacentral:rRNA from 1 species